CCUACGGGAGGCAGCAGUGGGGAAUAUUGCACAAUGAGGGAAACCCUGAUGCAGCGACGCCGCGUGAGUGAAGAAGUAUUUCGGUAUGUAAAGCUCUGUCAGCAGGGAAGAAAAUGACGGUACCUGACCAAUAAGCCCCGGCUAACUACGUGCCAGCAGCCGCGGGAAUGCGUAGGGGGCAAGGGUUAUCCGGAUUUACUGGGUGAAAAGGGAGCGUAGACGGCAGGGCAAGUCUGGAGUGAAAGGCGGGGGCUCAACCCCCGGACUGCUCCGGAAACUGGCAGGCUGGAGUGCAGGAGAGGUAAGUGGAAUUCCUAGUGUAGCGGUGAAAUGCGUAGAUAUUAGGAGGAACACCAGAGGCGAAGGCGGCUUACUGGAC
rnacentral:rRNA from 1 species